GGGGAUGUUGUUUGACGAAAGGAUUGAAUUAUACGAAAACUUGCCACUGAAGGUUAUUUUGAUAAUUUUUUAUUAAAAUUUUAAAUCUUUCAAAUAGUCAUGACAUAUUGUUAGAUGUCAAUUUUGACUUAUAGGCUUGAUAAAAAUUGAAAGAAUUUGAUUCUAGAAUCAAUUUGGAAGAGUCCAAGUUGAUUGAGACUCUUCGGGUGACCUAAUCUCAUCGG
rnacentral:lncRNA from 1 species